rnacentral:lncRNA from 1 species
UCACUACUCACCCACAAAGAACACCCUCAAAAUAAAACUCCCAGACCCCAACACCCAAGCUGAGCCACAUUUCGAAGAGCACCUAACCGAAGGAUCAUUCAGCUAUCACAAACCUCGCGACCUCCGAUCCAUCGAAAGAGCACAGCACAAAGCCCAAAAACCAACUUGAGUCAAAGAGCUGACUCCCGAUCUCAAAUCAAA